CGAGCGAACGGGGAGCAGCCCAGAGCCUGAAUCAGUGUGUGUGUUAGUGGAAGCGUCUGGAAAGGCGCGCGAUACAGGGUGACAGCCCCGUACACAAAAAUGCACAUAUUGUGAGCUCGAUGAGUAGGGCGGGACACGUGGUAUCCUGUCUGAAUAUGGGGGGCCCAUCCUCCAAGGCUAAAUACUCCUGACUGACCGAUAGUGAACCAGUACCGUGAGGGAAAGGCGAAAAGAACCCCGGCGAGGGGAGUGAAAAAGAACCUGAAACCGUGUACGUACAAGCAGUGGGAGCACGCUUAGGCGUGUGACUGCGUACCUUUUGUAUAAUGGGUCAGCGACUUAUAUUCUGUAGCAAGGUUAACCGAAUAGGGGAGCCGAAGGGAAACCGAGUCUUAACUGGGCGUUAAGUUGCAGGGUAUAGACCCGAAACCCGGUGAUCUAGCCAUGGGCAGGUUGAAGGUUGGGUAACACUAACUGGAGGACCGAACCGACUAAUGUUGAAAAAUUAGCGGAUGACUUGUGGCUGGGGGUGAAAGGCCAAUCAAACCGGGAGAUAGCUGGUUCUCCCCGAAAGCUAUUUAGGUAGCGCCUCGUGAAUUCAUCUCCGGGGGUAGAGCACUGUUUCGGCA
rnacentral:rRNA from 1 species